rnacentral:tRNA from 2 species
GGUGUUGUGACUCAGUGGUAGAGCACUUGCCUAGUAUGCUUGAGGCACUAGGUUCAAUCCUCAGCACCA